GAUGAACGCCGGCGGCGUGCUUAACACAUGCAAGUCGAGCGAGUGAGUUCUUCGGAACGAUCUAGCGGCGGACGGGUGAGUAACACGUGGGCAACCUGCCUCAUAGAGGGGAAUAGCCUCCCGAAAGGGAGAUUAAUACCGCAUAACAACGUUGAAGGGCAUCCUUCGAUGAUCAAAGGAGCAAUCCGCUAUGAGAUGGGCCCGCGGCGCAUUAGCUAGUUGGUGAGGUAACGGCUCACCAAGGCGACGAUGCGUAGCCGACCUGAGAGGGUGAUCGGCCACAUUGGGACUGAGACACGGCCCAGACUCCUACGGGAGGCAGCAGUGGGGAAUAUUGCACAAUGGGGGAAACCCUGAUGCAGCAACGCCGCGUGAGUGAUGACGGCCUUCGGGUUGUAAAGCUCUGUCUUUGGGGACGAUAAUGACGGUACCCAAGGAGGAAGUCACGGCUAACUACGUGCCAGCAGCCGCCGUAA
rnacentral:rRNA from 1 species